AGUCAAGGCUCUCACGGCAUUGGGCAAGGUCAGAGCCAACGCCCCUGUCCCGUAUAAAAGGUGCAGCAGGCGCACAGUCGGCACACACUCACUGGUCUACUCUCCCAGCAGACAGAGCAACAACCAACCGCAGAGAUGAACGCCAAGCUUGCGCUGCUGAUGCUGGCUGCCCUGGUGGCGUGCGUCUCUGCAUCCCACCCUGGAUACGGAUACGGUGGAUACAGUGGAUACCACCGUGGAUACGGUGGAUACGGACACGGUCUGAGCCACGGAUACUCCGGAUACCGUCAUCGCCGUUCUCUGGCCUACGGACACGCUGGAUACGGAUACGCUGCCCCUAGCUACGGAUACGCUCCCCGUUCUUACGGAUACAGCAGCUACGGACACGGUCUGAGCCAUGGCUACGCCGGACACCGUCACCGCCGUUCUCUGGGCUACGCCAGCUACGGUCACGGAUACGCUGCCCGUAGCCACGGAUACGGAUACGCUCCCCGCAGCUACGGAUACUCCAGCCACAGCUACGGCUAUGCUCCCGUCAGCUAUGGCUACGGCCAUUAAACUUGUAAUUGGCCGCCUGUUCUUUGUGUUUAUGAAUCGUUGUUCAUUGGUAUUCCGAAGAUACAGAAUGACAUUCUGCAAAAGUCGAACUUAACUGUCACCUAACAUCCCGAACGUCUUGAAUAAAUUUCAGAACAUA
rnacentral:lncRNA from 1 species